UGGGUGCUUUGCAGACUGGAGAAGUGCUGUUUCACGUCUGCAAACGGCCCGACGUCUUCCUUCUGGGGAGGAAGGCACUGGGCUCUGCAGGGCAGAGGCACAGCAGCGGAGGCAGGAGUUGCCUUGAUGGCGCCCCCUACAGGUUGGUUUGCCUCUCGGUUGAACCGUCUCUGAUUAUAAGAUGUUUAUCUCUUGAUACAAAGUGGGAUUCCUGAAUGCAGGUUAUGUCCACCUUAUUUUUAGGAAAUAACGCCUGACUGCUCACUGGAGGGAAGGAUAUUAGAGGCAAAGAUGAAGUACUUUGGCCACAUAAUGAGAAGACAGAAAAGCUUGGAGAAGAUAAUGAUGCUGGGGAGAAAUGGAAGGAAAAAGGAAGAGGGGCCGACCAAGGGCAAGAUGGAUGAAUGGUAUCCUUGGAGUGACUGGCUUGAUCUUGAAGGAGCUGGGAGUGGCGACAGCCGACAGGGAGCUCUGGCGUGGGCUGGUCCAUGAGGUCACAAAGAGUCGGAAGCGACUGAACGAAUAAACAACAAUUUCACUCUAGCAUGUCCUUCAGAUCAAUUUCCAUUUUCGUAAGGGUCUGUGCCCUUAGUCCUCCAGAGAUGGAGAGCCUACUGCACUUCAACAUAACUAUUGUUACAGAAAGGUAAACUCUGUUAUACAAAGAUUCAAAUUCAAAACAUAGCAAAGACAGUAAUCUCACUAACUCUGGGAUGGACACCUAAGUAACCUUGUCUCUUCUGUCAUGGUCACAUGGACCAGCCUCUUCUACACAGUCAGAGAUUAGCCCUCUUUCAUGCAGGUCAUAAGGGUUUGCUUAUAUUUUUUUAAACCGAUCAUUAUUAUGACCCCUAAAUUCUGGCUCUUUGGGGGGUUUAUUUAUUCAGGAACUCUUUAUAACAUUACAGAGCAGCUGCACCUUACCAGUUAGACUGAGUACAUCUUAAUGGUCUUCAGUAUCUUUUUUCUUUACCAUUAGGUAGCCAACUAGUUUUACCCUUUCACUGUACCUUGAACCUGGCAUAUUUUUAAAAAAUUAGACUACAUUACUUCUUAACCAGUUUCCGGCCAUUUUUAUAUUAACACUGUAUUAUUUCCCACCUCAGAUUCUGAAGUAAAAGAAAAUAUACAUACAAUGUAUACCAUUCAGCCAAUGAAGUUGUAAACUGAAAAUCUCUAGCCUGUUCUAAAAGGGAGAGCAUAAGGUUAAUUAAUUGUUUUGCUUUAAAAGCUGUUAGAUAUUUUAUUUCUGAUACAUAAUUACUUCUAUGAGCUUAUUGUGAUGGAAACAGUGUAAAAUGUAUUCAAAGGUUUGUUGUUGUUACUUCAUUAUUCUGUCUAAAUAAAUAUAAUGAAUAUACUUCUUCCUACCACAGUAUCUUUUCAUGACAUAAAUAACUGCAAGUUACUGAUGCUUUGCUCUUUUAUAUUACCCAGACAUCUACACAAGAUACACCUAAAGGAUUUUUGAGGAAAAAUGGUGACCUGCUGACUCCUUGAAGACCUAUAAAUCAAUAAACUGCAUCUGUCAGAAAUUAAAUGUAUAUCCAGUG